UGUUUGUCCUCUCUGCACUUUAGUUUGGGGCCUUAAAACAUGUCCUACUGUGUGGAAGCUCGAAAGGGAAGUUCAGAUGUGGUACUUAUAAAUCACUGUUUCGCGGUGUGCUGCUGGGAUUAGCCGUGAAAUGCUUGUCAUCUGAGAGCAGUUUGGACUCGACAACUUCAUGGUCGUCGCACAAGCAUAGUCGCUCACGUUGAACUAAACCAAAUAUGCCAGUGAACCUCAGCUUCCCAUGCAGCAACUGACACAGGAGACCUUUUGAUCCUCAAGUCCUCUUCAAUCUGUUCCUGCCAACCAUCAUCUUCCAUGGAGCUCACACCUUUAAUCAGUGCUUGGCCUGUUGUCAGAGCUGCGUUUGGACCUGGAUCGUCACACCCUGCUGUUCGGCAAGAGCAUUCUGAAUGAAGGCGGUUGCCAUCGUCCUGACACAGGUGUGUGACAGGGGGUGUACCUGGCUGUGGCAGAUGACAACGCACACCUGGUUCCCAUUACUCAUCAACCUCCAUAUAAAAGCCUGGUCAUCAUUCCAUCACUCUGCCAGAUAAUUCCGUGUUCUAGUUCAACAGUGCCACAUCUCUGAUGCAAGUUUUUGCACGUCUACUUGAUAUAUUGUAAUUGUUGCCUUUUUGAGGGGUUUUUCUAGGCCACCCUGUCACACCCUUUGACUUUUGUUUUCUUGGUGUCUUGUCUUCUGCAAACCAGCCAGCCCUCCCUGCGACGUCUGCCUGCCUUUAGUCUUUUGGCCAAUUAACUCUAGCAACUCGUUUUUUGUUUGUUUGUGUCUCUGCUUUGGGGCGUCCAAACUGCAAAACCUGACAGUUUCCUUGCUUUUGCAAACUCACUCUUUUAAAACAAGUCUAACGUCGAGGUCGGUCAGACUACACACGUUUUAAACACGAUUAUAGCCCAACCAAACAGACCCAUCGGCCCGGAAAAUCAAUCAUUUUAUACCAUACAAUGUGUCAUAGUGAAUGACAAUCAAGGACAGAUCUGGGACACCUCACAACCUCCCGACAGAAAGUCUAGUCUUUCUGCGAUGUGCCAUCACGUCAGUGGCGUUGACCAAUGAGAGCACAGCGUGUUGUGCAUGUGCAAAAGUAUCGAGCAUAAGCAAACAAAAUGGAUACAAUAACCCUUAAGUUCUCUUUAAGGCACUGUUCUCUUCUCACAACACUUUGGACGCCAUUUCUUUUGUUUACACUGUUUUUUAUCGUCUAGCCUUGCCUCAUGGUCCAGCCCCUCUUAUGAUUGGUCGGGUCGGGCACUACCCUGUAGUCUGUCUGUUUUCGUACGGCAGGAAUUAAUGGCUCUGUGAUCACCUCAUGUGACAUAGUGACCACCAUAACAGACAGAAAGAUUGUGCGGUCUGACCUUGGCAUAAUGGGAGUGCUUGUAUUGGUCUGUGGUGGAAUAAUCCAGCUACUCCAUCCGCCACUCGCAUGCAUGCCUGUUUCUGCUUGCUUCACCUCAGGCCCUUUCUUUUUCCUCCCUUCCUAUCUCUCUCUCUCUCUCCUUCCUGUGAGACCUCUUUUGCACUCAAUGACUUCCA